AAACUAUUACUAAAUUUUAGUUAAAUGUUACUGAGUCGUCUUCAGAAUUGUGAAGUCUCGAGUUCAAGUCUUAAUCAGAGUGAAUUAUAUAAAAAAAAAAAGGCCAAAAUAUUCCUAUGAAAAAAUAAUAAAAGAAAGAGCUAGCUGAAUAUCAUUCCCGCCCUUCAUUACAAAAGACCAUUGCCAACUCUUGUGGAAGCAACAUAAAGAAAGACGAGAAUUAAGAGAACAAUAUCAGGUCCAAGAAUAAAAUGAAUCAAUCAACUGAGUUUGUCUCUCCACAUCGAAUAACUGCAAUGGUUCUUAAUAACAUUUGGAUAGUCAGAUGAAACCAUGGCUUCCUCUACCAUUGCAUUGCCAUUGCAGUCAAUUCUGUAAGAGACGUUGAUUCCUUCCAAAAUUAGGUGAUAAAUUACAUUGUCAGAAUGAAGAGGAACCUUGUCAUUUUCGUAGCCAGAAGCAUCUUCAUCAUGGUUGUCAUCUGAAUCUGGAGAAUCAUAUGAAGCCUUCCCAUUUCCUUUCUUAAAAACGGGAUAAUGAGGUUGGUUUCGCUGAGAUACAGAUCGGAUAUCCCAUGACAGCACCUGUUUUAUUAAGCAUUGGAACUCAUCAGAUGAUGCAUAGAGCGACUUCUUUCCUGCUAUUUCCCAACAAUGAGCAAAUGAGGCAGAGAAACCCUCAGAAAAGGUAACAGAAGCGACUGCUAACAUGUUGUCCUCCAUUACCCACUUUGGAACUGCUGCUCCUUGGAUGCUAUCACAGUAUGGUAGAUAAGGUUUGAUGUCAAGUAUUGGGGUCCCAUCAACCAGAUCUACACCAGAGAGAAGAACCAUGUUUCCUUGUACUGCCUCCACCUUUGCAGCAGUGAGCCCAAUAGGGCAUGGACGAUGUGGAGAUCGUGUAGCGAAGACUCCCAUCCUUCCACCUUUCAAUCUUGGUACUCUAACCUUUGCUUUGAACUUUGAUCUAGAAGGUUGUUUCCACAACUUCUCUAUAUCUGUGUUCAAAUGAAAUACAUAUAUAAUCCAGCAAUGAGAAUAUUCUGCUAGACCCUCAAGGGAAACUGGGGGAACCCGAGUGGAAUUGAAGACUAAACAUGCCCUAGCAAGAGGUACAAGUAAAGGUUGCCUUGGAGUCCCAUUUCUGCACAGAUUAAGAAUAGCCAUUCAUGCAAGUUUAAACAGCAGUUCACACGUGAAUAAACUACAUGCAUAUAUUUUCCAAAAAAUUGUCACAAUUCUCAGAAAUAAGAUGCAGAGAAAUGUGGACAAUUGAAGAUAACUGAGAAUGUGUGUAAGAAAUAGUGAUCUAUGACUGCCAACGAAGACUCUAAACUGUAACUGGAACCAUGCUUUCACAUAAUUGUGAUCCAAGAACAAUGAGCAUAUCCUCCGUGAUGGGCAUACAAACUACCACAAGACAUAGUUUCAUACAGUGGUUAGAACUAAAAAAACAGAUAGCAAACCAGAGAUCCAGCGUGUGAGACAAACAUCGCUGCUGCUACUAGUUACAAUCAAGUUGCGUAGACAUUGGAAGCAUUCCUUAUCUGUUUCAUUGAAUAAUUAUUCUCUGCCGUUAUCAAGUGCACCAUUUUGAGAAAAUGUUCAUUUAAUUGAAGAAUUGAGGCUUGGGCUACAAAAACUGAAUUGGCGAUCAUAUUCUAGGGGAUGGCAUUGUUAUCAUAGUUUUAAGGGUAGCAUUUGUUGCUAUUUGACAUGGGAUAACGGAAAGUAAUACUAAUGUGUGUAGCACUUUACGAAGGCUAACUGUAUUUGAUUAUGAUACUGUUGCACUGGUUGUAAUUUGGCAUUUGCCUCAGUUAAUCAAUACAAUCUCCCCCUUUUUUUCUUAAAUUGCAAGUUUCUCUGUUUCUGCUCAUAACAUUUGGAAAUACAAUAUUCAUGAAAAUGUUUCAAAUCUUUUGAUACCAUAUUUUCCGACAAAAUAAAUAUCUAACUACUCGUUAUGUUCAUAUCCUUCAACGUCACUACACUAAUUCUUUCUAAGUACAACUGUAUGUGGGUUUCCGCCUUUAUGCAUUACAAAUGAAAAAUCAAACACACGAAAGAUCUCUAGUCUAUGUCUGGUUUGCCAAAAAUAUUUUCUGAGAAAACAUUUUUCAUUUUUUGAUGUACACAGGAAAAAUGGCUGCCAAAUUUACACAUUUUCUUGUGGUUUAAUUUUCUCAACCACUCAACUACAGCUGAUAAACAACUAUGAACUUCUUAUUGGUCAAAACACUAUCAUGAUCUCUUUCUCUCAAUGUAUUCCCAUGCUAGAAAAUAAUUCAUUUCUACUGCAAAAGAAAAUUAUCCUUGGA
rnacentral:misc_RNA from 1 species